rnacentral:rRNA from 1 species
GCUUACGGCCACACCGGCCUGAGUACCGACCUGAUCUCGUCCGAUCUCGGAAGCUAAGCAGGGUCGGGCCUGGUUAGUACUUGGAUGGGAGACCGCCUGGGACUACCAGGUGCCUGUAAGCU